GAUGGUAGCGAUGAUGUCCUGACUCAUCCUGUGAUGAAUCUAAUCAAAUGAGGAAGCCCCAGGAGGGAGAGGUGAUAAUGGGUGGUUGCUUGCAUGAUACAUGGUCACCACUCCUGAAGAAUACUUUUGCUCCUGCUGAGUCGUCCUGCCUGCACCUUCCAUCCUUGCAGGAACAGCCACGUUGUCCGGCUGGCGAUAAAUGAAGUGCCUCCCUGGUUGGGCUCCUCAGCUCAUAAUGAGGAUUCCCAGCAGGCCUGGAUGGAUCCGAAGUAAUAGACAUGGAUAGGACCAAGGAAAUCAGUGAAGGAUGAAGCGCCCAGAGAACAGCAACAGUGGAGAGUGCCUUCUGAUGACAAUUGGCAGUCGCACAGAGCUGCCACCUGAGGACAAUGUACCAGCUGAAGACUGAACAUCUGACCACUGUGGUACAUCUGUCUCUUCUCACUGGAACAUCUACAGGCAUUAUUAAACCCACUUGACAGAUGAGGCAUGUUAAGGCCUUUACCCAAUACCACACCUCCAAGCUCCGAGUGAGGCAAGAUGGGGACAAAUGAGAACUAGAGCUCAGCUAUAAGAGUUGUGUGUGCCAGGAGGGAGAUGGACCAGAAAUGAACUGGCAUUUCCUGGGGAAUCCAAAGACUUACGAUGUAAAUAACUUGCAUGUAUUUCUUCAUGUAGUUUUCAUCCUAUCCAUUUGAUAUUUGAAUUCUUCUUUCACAAAUGAAAUUAAAGAAAUUGAAUGAUUCAUCGGUGGUCACGAAGGUAAUAACUGGGAAAACGGGCACUUCAACCUGAGAUUGCAGCUUCAAGACCAAGUACCUUUCUUCUGUAUCAAUCAGAUUCCUAUCCCCAGGGCUCUCCUAUAUAGCAACUCUGGAGCUUGAAUUCCUUUUCCAUUUUCCCUCCUGAAUCCCAAACCCUC
ensembl:lncRNA